AAGGUAAUAACAAUUUCUUCGAUAUGUGACGGAUCAAAUUGCCACUCAUUCAGUGAGCAGAGAGCAUAAUUCAAACACACAGCCUUUUGUUUCCACAAUUCACCAAUUUAAAUAAAUUCAGUUAUAGAUGCUCCAUCCACCAGCGAAAGAAAAGAGGGUGAUCCACCAUCCAUUAGUCUUUGAAGCAAGACUCCCUCUUCCUGAAUUUCUUCUUCUUCUUCUUCUGCAGUGCUGCUGCUGGUACGCAAAAUCAGUUGCUUCAUGAAUGGACAAAGAAGCAUGAAAGAAACUGAACCUGGCGGCAUUGACCCCACAUGGUUCUCACGGAUUAAGCCAGCGCAUACCGGAGCACUGAAGAACCUGACAGACAUGGAUUUAACAAAUUAAGCCACUGCUGGACAAUUGCUGCCGUUGGCACAUCUCCAACAAAUAAAGGAAGGAAGAAAAAUUACCUUCAGUGCCGAUCGCACAUAUGAGAGAGCAAGCAAAACUUGAGUACAAGAAUCUGAAAGCAGUUAGAUACCUUGUCU
rnacentral:lncRNA from 1 species